rnacentral:lncRNA from 1 species
UUUGCUUCUCUUGGUCUCGAACGCCUUGUUGAAUAGAAGUCUUGAUAAGAGUCUCUUGUCGAGUAGUGUCGCUGGGAUGAUCUGAACUCCGUUUCUCGACUUGGUAGAUUUUGUUUCCGUCGGGCCUUUUCCUCCACUCGGUCCAAAUGAUAAUGCAAUUUAUCAAAUUUUAAUUUUACCAUUCUACGCAUUUCUUGCAUCAAAUAUUGGAAUUCUGAUUCGGAAAAUUCUUCUUGAGACAUGAUUUAAUUGCUCACCACAAAAAUCUGACGUUUCAGUCGCAAAGAAAAUUCACACAACUUGGCUUUUACUUCUCUCAAAUGGUCUCACCAAUCACUCUUACCUUUUUCCACUCG